GGGUGCGAUCAUACCAACGUUAAUACAUCGUGUCCCAUCAGAACUCCGCAGUUAAUCGUGCUUGGGCUAGAGCAGUACUGGGAUGGUUGAACUCCUGGGAAGUCCUAGUGUUGCACCCU
rnacentral:rRNA from 1 species